CCUCGUGAAUUCAUCUCCGGGGGUAGAGCACUGUUUCGGCAAGGGGGUCAUCCCGACUUACCAACCCGAUGCAAACUGCGAAUACCGGAGAAUGUUAUCACGGGAGACACACGGCGGGUGCUAACGUCCGUCGUGAAGAGGGAAACAACCCAGACCGCCAGCUAAGGUCCCAAAGUCAUGGUUAAGUGGGAAACGAUGUGGGAAGGCCCAGACAGCCAGGAUGUUGGCUUAGAAGCAGCCAUCAUUUAAAGAAAGCGUAAUAGCUCACUGGUCGAGUCGGCCUGCGCG
rnacentral:rRNA from 1 species